rnacentral:lncRNA from 1 species
AACAAAGCAAUAGGGGGAAUAGAAAAGGACAGUUGCUUCCUAAUCCUAUCCUUCCCCAAUAUAUUGAUGCCUCUGAGUCUCCCCUCCCAUUUAUGUUUAAGCAACAUUGUCCCAUUGCACUUGCACAACAUGUCGUAUCCUGUUCCAAAAUUUACAUAUCAAUUCGUAACAUACCAUACCCUUCUUUAAGUUUUAUUUUUCCCUUUUUCUUUU